UAUGUCGUGGCGCGGGAGGCUUCAGCGCUCACGCGCUCUGGGCGCGUGCGCUGGUGGUCGCGCUGUUGCGUCGCGC
rnacentral:tRNA from 1 species